rnacentral:rRNA from 1 species
AUGGCGGCGGGAGGUACCGCGGAGGGCGAGGAGCUCUUCCUCCUCCGCUCGGCCGAGGAAGGGGAAGGGGAAGGGGACGGGUUGUGCGUGGGGGAGCGCCCCUGGCGGCUCAACUUCGACGGCUUCCGGCGCCAGGGGCCGCAGCAGGAGAAUCCGCCGUCCCGCGGCCUCCAGGACUGCCUCGGCGUGCUAGCUCAAGGACCUGGAGAUGUUGUGGCUGAAUACUACCAACAACAGUUGGAGAUGUUGGAAGGUUUCAAUGAAAUGGAUACUCUGACAGACCGUGGUUGCCUUCCUGGAUUAUCCAAGGAAGAACGUGAGAAAAUUGCCCGGAGUGAGACAUUAGCCAUCCGAUUAUCUAACAUAGCAAACAUGGUUCUUUUUGCUGCAAAAGUUUAUGCCUCAAUAAGGAGUGGCUCCCUAGCUAUUAUUGCUUCAACACUGGACUCUCUACUUGACUUGUUGUCCGGGUUUAUUUUGUGGUUUACUGCCUUUUCAAUGCAAACACCAAACCCAUACAGGUACCCAAUUGGUAAAAGGCGCAUGCAACCUUUGGGAAUACUUGUUUUUGCAUCUGUUAUGGCAACACUCGGUCUUCAAAUUAUUCUAGAAUCCACACGCUCAUUGUUGUCAUCUAAUGGAGCUGAAUUCCGCUUGACAAAAGAACAGGAAAUGUGGGUUGUGAAUAUUAUGCUGGCAGUGACGCUGGUGAAGCUUCUGCUGGUUAUAUAUUGCCGCUCAUUCACCAAUGAAAUUGUGAAGGCAUAUGCACAGGAUCACUUUUUUGAUGUCAUCACCAACAUUAUUGGGCUUGUGGCUGCACUUCUUGCUAAUUAUUUUGAAGGCUGGAUUGACCCAGUUGGUGCCAUCAUUCUAGCGAUCUACACAAUCAGGACAUGGUCCAUGACGGUGCUGGAGAACGUGCACUCCCUGGUCGGCCAAUCGGCCUCACCGGAGUUCCUCCAGAAGCUCACCUACCUGUGCUGGAACCAUCACAAGGCCGUGAGGCACAUCGACACGGUGCGGGCGUACACGUUCGGCUCUCACUACUUCGUCGAGGUCGACAUCGUCCUGCCGUGCGACAUGCCCCUGCAGGAGGCGCACGACAUCGGCGAGGCCCUGCAGGAGAAGCUGGAGAGCCUGCCCGAGAUCGAGCGCGCCUUCGUCCACCUCGACUACGAGUUCACCCACCAGCCCGAGCACGCCCGGUCCUACGACACAUAA